GCAGGUGGUGAAGAUAUAAUUAAACAGGUAAUUAAACAAGCAAUAAAGACGGGUCAUUUGGGGUAGAAUCAGUGUUUUUCUGCUGUAUCAAGGAACCAGUUUCCCAUCUUUCAGGGACAUGGUUUUCUGGCUGAGCUGGCCCAGGGCAAGCAGGCAGUCAUCCUGCAUUUAUCUCCUUCUAGAAAGUUCUGGAUUUUACUGGGACUGUGCGCUACUCCCUGUUCCUCAGAAUCCCAGGGUUUUUCCAAGUUGCCAUAGGGGCUCUCCAAAUAUUUCACUUGAUACUGAAUUUUACAAUGUUUAUAGCUAUUGAAACACUUGUAAUUAAACACAUAACCAAAUGUAUUCUGUGGAAACUCCCCUUGUUAAAAGACAUUGAACUGAGGGAGGCUUACCCUUAGGCAGAUUGUCUCAGCAGACAUGUAGUAAAGAUGUACAGAUCAGGAGAACACAGAAACGCCUGCCCUGUCGGGGAAGCUUCGAAGCCAGACCUGGAGAGGCCGGCUGCCAGCGACAGGCCUCUGCAUUCAACCUGACUUUGCAUCCGUCCUGGGGCUGGCUCCUUCCCACCGCGGGCCUGGGCGUUUCCAUGUGCUGCCACCGAGGUGUGUAGGUGCUAGGGGUGUGCUCACUGCACACAGACGUGCAUACCGCGGGCGUCCUGGGGUGUCGGGCAUGCCCUGCUGUGCUGUGGGAGCCGGAGUGUGUUAGCGGAAAGCGGCAUUUUCACAGGGCUCAGAGUUGAAGACACACCUGUCUUCCUGACGUGUGGACUCGGGUCCCUAGUGUGAUUACUGCGUUGAGCAGAUGCUGAAGUAGCACCCUGCCCGGUGCUGACCUCCUGGUGACAACGCCACUACCCCCAGUGGACAGCGAGGAAGCAGGGUCAGCCACUGGCCCGGCUGUGCAGCGAUUGUCCGUAGGCCCUGGAGUUCAGCCCUGCCCUUCAUUCACGCCACUGUGCAGCCUGCGUAUCCUGGACACCCGGUUCACAUCUGGGCAGCGGCGUUCUCGGGCCGUGACGGCUCCUGGGAGGACCGAGGCUGCCCGAGGUGGUCGGGGAUGCCUGACACUGACACUGAGCUUCCCCUCAGCACAGAUGUCACUCCCAGGAAUGGCUGAAAUCUGGACGAGUAAAAGCUUAUGUGACAGGAGUUUCCGGCCUAAGCAGCGGGACCUGGGUGCCAUGUUCUUGGUGUGUAGGGGCAGUGCCGGCCGCCCAUGGGUGCCGGUGCCUCCUGCAGUCAGGCCUGCUGCUGUCUGUGUGCGCAAUAAGGAAACCGAACCCAAGAGUGGGCACCAUGCCCAGGCUCACCGGAACAGAGGGCAGAGCAGCCUGGCCAGAAUCCCUCACUGUUUUAUGGCAGGAACCCCCAGGGUCGUGCGUCGACGUUGUGGCCCGGCGUUCCCUGCGGAAGAUUGAGGCCCUCACUGGUCAACCCUGCAGUACGGGGGCGUGUGUGGCAAACAGCUGGUCUGGAGCCUCGUCAGCCAGGCCGGCUCCUUGAUGCUUUGAAAUCCCCCUCCCAGGGGGCCUGGCCAGGUCCGUCCAUGGGCGGCCACAGGCAGCUGGGGCUGGACUCCUGGAAUUUCCAGCAGCCCUGUGUCUGUUACAGCGCCAGUGGUAGAGCUGGAUUCCCUGACAAGACGGGGGAAGGACAGCCUUGCAGGUGCUACUGAAGACACCCUAGGCUAGAGCUGCCCACCCUGGGUGGGUUCUCCUGGACUGAACUGACGUUGGUUUGCUAUUGAUGAGAGUCACAUAGUAUAUGUACACAAUGCAUUUUAACUGCCUCAGAAUUAAGGUGUUAUCUGGAAACAGUGUAAUUACAGUUGGUCAGAAUUGGGUUGAUAGCAGUUCACUGCAGAGAACUUUCUGGAAGCUGUGACAGGUGGAAGUAGUGGGGCUCAGGGUUGGUGGGCCACACCUUAGCUGUGUGGCCUUGGCCAAGUUGCUCAUCAAGACCUUCCUGUCACUGAUGAGGUGAGAGUGACCGCUGGGCCGUCCUGAGGCUGACAUGGGAUUCCUUGCCUGUGCACACUUCCCAGAAGGCGGACCAAGGACACACCCGCCUGGGAGACGGCUCGCAGGCAGCCACGGAGUAUAUAUAUCUGAACGUCGGAAAGGACCUUUCCUUUGAAGCUCAAACAUUUAUGAGAUAUUGUUACAAUUCGGAAGGGAUCUGUAGGUGAAAUGUGACAUGAAGACUGGGUAACGUUGGCAUUUGCAGACUGACUUUAUGUGUGGCACUUUUCGUGGGUGCCAUGGCGUCGGCGCAGAGACACUCCUGAGGGAUUUCGUCUGUCGGUCCAUGUGUUUGUGGGGGCCGAGUCCUGGACAGGCCUAGGAGGGAACCGCCCCGGCCAGGGCCGGCUGCUCGGCGCCUGCACAGGGCAUGAGUGCUGGGGGCUUUGGGACACACGCUCCCUGCUGCCUCUGGGGCAGAUGUCCACCUGCACUGCUUGCAGUGAGAGGCUGGGGCCCCAGUGGACGAGCCGUGGUGCCUGAACUGCUCCCGCUGUGUCCCCGCCACGUGAGGCAUCUCUUCCUGACCGUGGUCCUGAGACCACCUGGCCUCUGCCUUCCCAGGGUUAACUGUACUUGUUCUCUCCGUGGCUGCCGACACCCUUCUGGCCUUCAGACUUAGCCCUCAUCACUCGUGGACUCCUGACCCCACCCAGGGCUGACCACCGGAGCCCUGCUCUCUGCUUCCUUUGCGGCUGAUAUUGUCCCCAUUCCAGUGUUGUUCUUGUGCCUGUCUCCCCUCUAGCUCCUUGCAGUCAGGGAGAGGACUUUCUUUAUACCUCUAUCCCUUGUCUUCUAGGGGCAUCUCCUGCUCAGUGAAAUGUGCUGACCCGUAGCAGGUGGUCUCUACCAGGGCUUAGUGUCAGCAUGGGACACUUUUCCAGCCAUUACCCCUUCUUUCCCCUCUACCCACCUCCAGCCCCGAGGUGCGGCCCAGCAGGACAGAUACUGCCACAGCCCUCCCUUGGUUGUGUUCAUACUUCCUGGGCUGCUCAUGCCUUCCUGUUUGCUGGUGGAUUCUCUUUUUGCUGGAGUGUAUCCCCAAGCAGCUUUUCCAGAAAGGACCAACUUGCCCGGAUCUCUAAUUCUCCAUCAAAGCCACUUUCCCUCAGAGCUUUGCAGCAUUGAGGAGGCAUCUUCAAGCAUCUGACUCUUCUUCUCCCUGGAAGCUUCUAAAGUCUCAGUGCCUUGCCCUCCUGCUCUCCACCUUUGCUCUCUGUUCUGGUUAUUUAUCGAGGAGUCUCUGAGGCUCUUUUUUUUGCUCUCUUGUAGUGGCCUUGGUGAGCUCUUCAGCCUCAAGGCUUGUCCUUGGCUCUGGAUGAGGCUCUUCUGGCCUCUCCCCAAUCUGCCCAUGUGUUCCAAACACCGCAUGCCCCAGCUGGGUUCCAAACAGGGCGGGUGGGGGCCACUCUCCUGUCUAGCUUCGUAGCGUGGGCUGAAACCUGGGAAAGUCUCUCCAUGAAGCUGAAUGGAGAAGAACAUGGCUUCCGCGAGGCCCUAGGAGCCAAGCACCACACAGAACCCACCGCUUGGCUGUGAUCCCGAGUGACGGGGACAGCCUGGACUGCAGAAGGAAUGCCCAACGCUGGCGGGAACGGAGGGGCUUUUCUUGCUCGUCUUUCCAGUUCCACAUUGUCACAUUGGAGUCCUGGGCUCACUGAGAUUAUGUUGAAAAUCCGACCUCUAGGGGAUCUCCAUGCUAGUUUU
rnacentral:lncRNA from 1 species